GGCUGAUGAUGGAAAGGUUUUACUCCUGAUCUUCAUAACUAGGAAGGUUUCUAUACUUGGCCUGAGCUCA